rnacentral:rRNA from 1 species
AUUGAACGCUGGCGGCAUGCCUUACACAUGCAAGUCGAACGGUAACAGGCCGCAAGGUGCUGACGAGUGGCGAACGGGUGAGUAAUGCAUCGGAACGUGCCCAGUUGUGGGGGAUAACUGCUCGAAAGAGCAGCUAAUACCGCAUACGACCUGAGGGUGAAAGCGGGGGAUCGCAAGACCUCGCGCAAUUGGAGCGGGCGAUGUCAGAUUAGGUAGUUGGUGGGGUAAAGGCCUACCAAGCCGACGAUCUGUAGUUGGUCUGAGAGGACGACCAGCCACACGGGGACUGAGACACGGCCCCGACUCCUACGGGAGGCAGCAGUGGGGAAUUUUGGACAAUGGGCGCAAUCCUGAUCCAGCAAUGCCGCGUGCAGGAAGAAGGCCUUCGGGUUGUAAACUGCUUUUCCAGGGGAAGAAAUUUUCGCACGUGUGCGGAAUUGACGGUACCUUGGGAAUAAGCAUCGGCUAACUCCGUGCCAGCCGCCGCGGUAACAC